UUAUUUAAAUUUCCCAUUUUGGGUUUUGAUUCUUUUUUGGGACAACUCCUUUUUUUCUCCUUCACCGUUUUAUGUUUUCUUUUUUCUUUUUCCAACAUAUAUAAAUAUCUGAUAAGGACGAGAGACUGUAUUAAUAAUAAUUGAAAAAUAUAUUAAGCAAUACAAAUAUAUCGAAAAAAAAAUGAGAAAACAUAAUAAGAUGCACAAACGUAUCUAUAAUUAAAUAAACAAUAAAAGAUAAUCAGUUGCACAAACACAUUUAUAUUGAGAAGUAAUUAGAACGUGACUUGAAACCGACAUACAUCAUUUAUAUGCAUAUGUCAUGACAACAGCGUAAAUGUGAUAGUAACUGUAAUCGUAGGCAGGAUCAUAACCAUAACUUGGGAAGUACACCCCGCUUGGAAGAGCGACGUUAGCUAUCGAACUCUCAAGAACAGUAACCAAGUAACUAGGCCUCCAAUCUAAAACUGAAUCAGAGGCCAUAACAUCCAGACAUAACCUACCUCCUGGGUAACCAAGUAAUAGGAUCCUAGAUCUUAACCUUUUCCCGGAAACUGACAGAGGACCAGCACAGACGAGCAAACCCUCUAUUAGCAUCAAACCAAAGCGGAUCAUAUGUGCACCAUGUCAAAACGAAUCGGAUGCCACUGCCCAUAGGAGAAUAAGGCAAACACGCCCUCGAGGAGGACAAGAUAAUGGCUACACGGGGAGAGGAGACCUCAUCAACAACCAAGGUUCGAGUGAGCAAAACCCUAGAUUUAGGGUUUGCCGCCUCUUAGAGAGAGAGAGAGAGAGAGAAUUUAUGUUAAAAUUUGCAUUACCUUUAGAUACAUAUAUAAAUAAGAUAGAAUCCGGACACACGUACAUACUAAACUCUGUAUCUAUCUGCAAGCAAACUCAUAUCUAUUUCACCAACCAUAUCCUAACAGGAGUAACAGGUGUCUAAAUGAG
rnacentral:lncRNA from 1 species